rnacentral:sRNA from 1 species
UGGUAUCCCUUGGCAACUGGCGUGGCCUCCCCUCACAGAUGGCUUCUGGGAGGCCCUGGGCGGGAAGUCUGCCUACCGCACCUCCCCACGGCUGAAGGACAAGAAGAUGGAUGCCCAUCCUCCUCGCCUCUUUGCCUGCUCCAACAAGAUUGGACGUUUUGUGGUGAGCCCCUGCGGAGGUCACACCUCUGCUUUCCCCUCGGGAGGCGAGUUCCACAGGACUGGCCGGCAGCAGGGGCAGGAGAAACAGUUCUGACGGCAUGGCACAGAGGAAGGGGCCCCCUGCCAGCUGCAGUCAGCUGUGCCACUCCCUCAGGGGGCAGAUAGAGGAAGCCCACCCAGGGGAGGGAAGACAUCUCGCUGAUGCUCUUUCGUUCCUUCCCAGAUCGAAGAGGUUCCUGGUGAGCUCAUGCAGGAAGACCUGGCUACGGAUGAUGUCAUGCUUCUGGACACCUGGGACCAGGUCUUUGUGUGGGUUGGAAAGGAUUCUCAAGAAGAAGAAAAGACAGAAGCCUUGACUUCUGCUAAGCGGUACAUCGAGACGGACCCAGCCAAUCGGGAUCGGCGGACGCCCAUCACCGUGGUGAAGCAAGGCUUUGAGCCUCCCUCCUUCGUGGGCUGGUUCCUUGGCUGGGAUGAUGAUUACUGGUCUGUGGACCCCUUGGACAGGGCCAUCGCUG